UCUGAUAAGUGCUAACCUUGCCUCUUGUUCGUAGCUGAACGACCGCCACUGGCUCCACUGCCCGGCAUUCGUGAAUGGGUCGAAGCCGUGCUCCCACACAACAGGGAGUCGCACGUGGCCGUCUUUCUGGGAGAGGCACGGUAGCAGACCUGCUUCGGGUGAGAGUUCUAGCUUCAUUCUAUCUUUGUUUUAUUCCUGUUUGAUUCUUCUUAACUUUGUUUUUCCUCUGAUUAGGGAGGCCACGCUGCGUGAGGG
rnacentral:lncRNA from 1 species